AGAGUUUGAUCCUGGCUCAGAGCGAACGCUGGCGGCAGGCCUAACACAUGCAAGUCGAGCGAGAAAGGGGCUUCGGCCCUGAGUAAAGCGGCGGACGGGUGCGUAACACGUGGAUAAUCUGCCCUUUAGUGGAGAACAACAGUCCGAAAGGAUUGCUAAUGCUGCAUGUCACGGCGGAGACUCAGGUCCCCGUCGGAAAA
rnacentral:rRNA from 1 species